UGGCACUAAGAGCCGAUGAAGGACGUAACUAACUACGAUAAUCUACGGUUAGCUGUAAGUAAGCAAUGACCCGUAGGAUUCCGAAUGGGGCAACCCAAUGAUUUAAGAUCAUUACACAAUAUGUGAGGGAACGCAGAGAACUGAAAUAUCUAAGUAACUGCAGGAAAAGAAAGUAAAAACGAUUCUACUAGUAGUGACGAGCGAAAGUGGAACAGCCAGUAGCUAUUACAGUUAUAAAAUAAUAAUAUAGAAGAACAUGUUGGGAAACAUGACCAUAGUGAGUGAUAGUCUCGUAUUUGAAAUAUUGUUAUCUGAUGCUACAAAAAGUACGGCGGGACACGAGAAAUCUUGUCGGAACGAAUAAGGAGGACCAUCUCCUAAGGCUAAAUACUACUUAGUGACCGAUAGUGAACCAGUACCGUGAGGGAAAGGUGAAAAGAACCCCUGGAGGGGAGUGAAAAAGAUCCUGAAACUGUGUGCUUACAAUUAGUCAGAGCCCGUUAAUGGGUGAUGGCUUGCCUUUUGCAGAAUGAACCGGCGAGUUACGAUAUUUAGCAAGGUUAAUGAUUAAGGUCAAAGCCGUAGCGAAAGCGAGUCUGAAUAGGGCUAAAGUUAAAUGUCGUAGACCCGAAACCGAGUGAGCUAGCCAUGAGCAGGUUGAAGUUAAGGUAAAACUUAAUGGAGGACCGAACCAGGACACGUUAAAAAGUGUUUGGAUGACUUGUGGCUAGGGGUGAAAAGCCAAACGAACUCGGAGAUAGCUGGUUCUCUCCGAAAUAGCUUUCGGGCUAGCGUUAGAAUAAUAUUUUAUGAAGGUAGAGCACUAAAUGUGUGAUGGCCUCACCUCGAGGUACUGAGCCCAAUUAAACUCCGAAUGUCAUAAAAGCAAGUCUAGCAGUCAGACUACGAGUGCUAAGGUCCGUGGUCAAAAGGGAAAGAGCCCAGAUCGCCAGUUAAGGUCCCAAAAUUCAUGCUAAGUGGAAAAGGAAGUGGAAAUGCAUAAACAGCUAGGAGGUUGGCUUAGAAGCAGCCAUCCUUAAAAGAGUGCGUAAAAGCUCACUAGUCGAGUGUUUCUGCGCCGAAAAUGUACCGGGGCUAAAGCAUGAUACCGAAACUGCGGAUUCUAUAUUAGAUAUAGAGUGGUAGGAGAGCGUUCUAAACACGAUGAAGGUAGAUCGWAAAGGACUACUGGAGAGUUUAGAAGUGAGAAUGCCGGUGUAAGUAACGAAAAGAUAGGUGAGAAUCCUAUCCGUCGAAAACCCAAGGUUUCCAGGGGAAGGUUCGUCCGCCCUGGGUUAGUCGGGACCUAAGGUGAGGCUAAAAAGCGUAGCCGAUGGAUAAAAUGUUUAUAAUCAUUUACCGAUUAUGAGACUGAUGGAGUGACAAAGGAGGCUAGGAACCGCAGAUAAAUGGUUUUCUGUCGAAAAUUCAAGAUGGUCUAUAUGCAAAUCAGUAGACGUAAUUCAAGAAUUAUUAGGUAAAGGUUUACGAAGUCAUACUUUCAAGAAAAGCUUCUAAGAUUAUCUCAUAAUUGCCCGUACCGUAAACCGACACAGGUGGGUGGGUAGAAUAUACUAAGACGCGCGAGAAAACUCUUGUUAAGGAACUCGGCAAAAUGACCCCGUAACUUCGGGAUAAGGGGGACUCUAUGAAAAUAGAGUCGCAGAGAAAAGGCCCAAGCGACUGUUUAUCAAAAACAUAGGUAUCUGCUAAAGCGUAAGCUGAUGUAUAGGUGCUGACGCCUGCCCGGUGCUGGAAGGUUAAGAGGAGAGGUUAGGAGCAAUCCGAAGCUUUGAAUUGAAGCCCCAGUAAACGGCGGCCGUAACUAUAACGGUCCUAAGGUAGCGAAAUUCCUUGUCGGGUAAGUUCCGACCCGCACGAAAGGCGUAACGAUUUGGGCGCUGUCUCAACAAGAGGCUCGGUGAAAUCAAACUACCGGUGAAAAUGCCGGUUAACCGCGACUAGACGAAAAGACCCCAUGGAGCUUUACUAUAGCUUGAUAUUGAUAUCUGGAUAUUCAUGUACAGGAUAGGUGGGACGCUGAGAAGGUAGAACGCUAGUUUUGCYAGAGCGGACGUUGGGAUACCACCCUUGUGUAUUCGGAUAUCUAACUUGGAUAAGUGGAUUAUCAAGGACAGUGUCAGGUGGGUAGUUUGACUGGGGCGGCCGCCUCCCAAAGAGUAACGGAGGCGCCCGAAGGUUCCCUCAAAAUGGUUGGAAAUCAUUUUUUAGAGUGUAAAGGCAUAAGGGAGCUUGACUGCGAGACCCACAAGUCGAGCAGGUACGAAAGUAGGGCUUAGUGAUCCCACGGUUCCGCAUGGAAGGGCCGUGGCUCAACGGAUAAAAGCUACCCUGGGGAUAACAGGCUAAUCGCUUCCAAGCGUUCACAGCGACGAAGCGGUUUGGCACCUCGAUGUCGGCCUGUCGCAUCCUGGAGCUGGAGUCGGUUCCAAGGGUUGGGCUGUUCGCCCAUUAAAGCGGCACGCGAGCUGGGUUCAGAACGUCGUGAGACAGUUCGGUCUCUAUCUGUCGUGGUCGUUGGAAAUUUGAAGGGAGCUGUUCCUAGUAUGAGAAGACCGGAAUGGACGCACCUCUGGUGUACCAGUUGGCCUACCAGGGCCAUAGCUGGGUAGCUAUGUGUGGAAAGGAUAAACGCUGAAAGCAUAUAAGUGUGAAGCCAACCCUAAGAUGAGAUUUCCCAAUUAGUAAGAUUCCUUAAAGACUAUGAGGUUGAUAGGCUAGGUGUGUAAGUAUAGUGAUAUAUUUAGCUAACUAGUACUAAUAAAUCGAGGACUUAAUCUUUUAUAAAAUUUGACAGAAGUUAUCUAGUUUUGAAAGAAAUCUGGUGAUAAUAGCAAAAUGGUCACACC
rnacentral:rRNA from 1 species